rnacentral:rRNA from 1 species
GAUGAACGCUGGCGGCGUGCCUAAUACAUGCAAGUCGAGCGAACAGACGAGAGUGCUUGCACUCUCUGACGUUCGCGGCGGACGGGAGAGUAACACGUGGGUAACCUAUCUAUAAGACGGGGAUAACCUCGGGAAACCGGCGCUAAUCCCGGAUAAUAUUUAGCUUCGCAUGAAGCAAUAGUAAGAGACGGUUCUGCUGUCACUUAUAGAUAGACCCGCGGUGUAUUAGCUAGUUGGUGAGGUAACGGCUCACCAAGGCAACGAUGCAUAGCCGACCUGAGAGGGUGAUCGGCCACACUGGGACUGAGACACGGCCCAGACUCCUACGGGAGGCAGCAGUAGGGAGUCUUCCGCAAUGGGCGAAAGUCUGACGGAGCAAUGCCGCGUGAGUGAAGAAGGUUUUCGGAUCGUAAAACUCUGUUGUAAGGGAAGAACAAGUACGUUAGUAACUGAACGUACCUUGACGGUACCUUACCAGAAAGCCACGGCUAACUACGUG